rnacentral:rRNA from 1 species
UACAGAGGUCUCAAGCGUUGUUCGGAUUCAUUGGGCGUAAAGGGUGCGUAGGCGGCGCGGUAAGUCGGGUGUGAAAUCUCGGAGCUUAACUCCGAAACUGCAUUCGAUACUGCCGUGCUUGAGGACUGGAGAGGAGACUGGAAUUUACGGUGUAGCGGUGAAAUGCGUAGAUAUCGUAAGGAAGACCAGUGGCGAAGGCGGGUCUCUGGGCCGGUACUGACGCUGAGACGCGAAAGCGUGGGGAGCGAACAGG